rnacentral:rRNA from 1 species
AUUGAACGCUGGCGGCAUGCUUUACACAUGCAAGUCGAACGGGCUUAGGGGCUUGCUCCUAAGUUAGUGGCGAACGGGUGAGUAAUGCAUCGGAACGUACCGUGUAGUGGGGGAUAACCCGGCGAAAGUCGGAUUAAUACCGCAUACGAUCUAAGGAUGAAAGCAGGGGAUCGCAAGACCUUGAGCUAUACGAGCGGCCGAUGUCGGAUUAGCUAGUUGGUAGGGUAAAGGCCUACCAAGGCAACGAUCCGUAGCGGGUCUGAGAGGAUGAUCCGCCACACUGGGACUGAGACACGGCCCAGACUCCUACGGGAGGCAGCAGUGGGGAAUUUUGGACAAUGGACGAAAGUCUGAUCCAGCCAUGCCGCGUGAGUGAAGAAGGCCUUCGGGUUGUAAAGCUCUUUUGUCCGGGAGCAAAUCCUGUUCACUAAUACUGAGCGGGGCUGAGAGUACCGGAAGAAUAAGCACCGGCUAACUACGUGCCAGCCGCCGCGGUAAUAC